GCCAGGUAUGGUGAUGCACAUCUGUAAUUCCAGCAACUCAGGAGGCUGAGGGAGGAGGAUUGCAAGUUUGAGGCCAGCCUCAGCAACUUAGCAAGACCCUGUCUCAA
rnacentral:sRNA from 1 species